GCGAUGAAGGACGCGGUAGCCUGCGAAAAGUUGUGGGGAGCUGGCAACGAGCUUUGAUCCACAAAUGUCCGAAUGGGGAAACUGUAGUGGUUCACCCAACCUGGACACUUCGUCAGGCGCUUUGCGCUUUUACUACUUCGUACUCGGCAGGCGGCAAAUGCCCGAGAGC
rnacentral:ncRNA from 1 species